CUCAUCAUGCACGUAAGUAACCAAUCUGAGAGUAAUUCUGAUAUGUUUUCUACUAAAUUGAUCUUUCGGAUAACGCAUUUUAUCAGUGACGUGAUAGAGAUCUCUAGUCAUGCAUAAUGAAUAUGCAUUAUAUAUAUCUUCAAUUUUGCAUACAUCCCUAAUUAACCCUCACCUUAAUUACUUUUCAUUUUCCUAUUUCUAUCCAAUCUAUUACUGUUCAAAUAUUUUUA
rnacentral:lncRNA from 1 species